rnacentral:rRNA from 1 species
GAUGAACGCUGGCGGCGUGCCUAAUACAUGCAAGUCGAGCGAACAGAUGAGGAGCUUGCUCCUCUGACGUUAGCGGCGGACGGGUGAGUAACACGUGGAUAACCUACCUAUAAGACUGGGAUAACUUCGGGAAACCGGAGCUAAUACCGGAUAAUAUAUUGAACCGCAUGGUUCAAUAGUGAAAGACGGUUUUGCUGUCACUUAUAGAUGGAUCCGCGCCGCAUUAGCUAGUUGGUAAGGUAACGGCUUACCAAGGCAACGAUGCGUAGCCGACCUGAGAGGGUGAUCGCCCACACUGGAACGGAGACACGGUCCAGACCCCUACGGGAGGAAGCGGUAGGGAAUCUUCCGCAAUGGGCGAAAGCCUAACGGAGCAACGCCGCGUGAGCGAUGAAGGUCUUCGGAUCGUAAAACUCUGUUAUUGGGGAAGAACAAAUGUGUAAGUAACUAUGCACGUCUGGACGGUACCUAAUCAGAAAGCCACGGCUAACUACGU